rnacentral:lncRNA from 1 species
UAAAUUUCCGGAGAAGUUUAAAGUUUGUCAGUAUCAUACUUGUGGGCUCUUAAGUAAGUUCUUACUCUUCUUUUCAGUUCUUGUUUUGUAUUUUAAAUCUUAUUUUCCGUAUCGCCGCCUAUAUGGCCGGCUAAGUUUUUGUUAAAUAAUAUCAUGAUACUAAGAUCUGAUAGUAUGGCAUAAAAAAAAAUUAAAUAAAUAAAUAAAAAUAAAUAAAAAAAAAGAGUACAAUGGACAAAAAUUAUGAUGUCUAGUAUGGUUUAAAUUAAAAACAGGCAGGGAUUAGGUUUAACCCGAAGUCUGGAUUCGCCCACUCUGUUGCCAUGUUUUCGGCGUUUUUUUGGGCUUCCCUCCAUGACUGGUUAAGAACUAAAUCCCUUGACAGUUUUUAAUUCUGUACAAACAUCCAUGUACAGUCUUCAAGAUAUUUGUUUAUGGUUCUCACCAACUUUAAUACAAUUAAAAUAAACGUCCUGUUAAAAUAUGGUAUUAUUAUUAUUAUUAUUAUUAUUAUUAUUAUUAUUAUUAUUAUUAUUAUUAUUAUUAUUAUUAUUAUUAUUAUUAUUAUUAUUAUUAUUAUUAUUAUUAUUAUUAUUAUUAUUAUUAUUAUUAUUAUUAUUAUUAUUAUUAUUAUUAUUAUUAUUAUUAUUAUUAUUAUUAUUAUUAUUAUUAUUAUUGCCGCGUGCUCCGAUUCAAUCGGAUUCUCGAUCGGCGGCGCCUCGUUCCCCUUCCUCAUCCACCACCUCAUCGGCCUCCUUGUCAUCCCGCUUGUCCCGCACGCUCAGCUCCGGCGGACGCUCUUCUCAGGUUUGUGUCGUUACGUCACUAUUUUUAUGUGUGCCUUUUCGAUGAUUUAUUUUUUUUUUUUCAUUUUCUGUUGCGGUUUUCCGGCGAGAUAACUGAUUUAUACGAUUGUUCCCCCUUUUACCGGGAAGUGACGCCAUAGUCUUUAUUUAUUAUUAUUAUUAUUAUUAUUAUUAUUAUUAUUAUUAUUAUUAUUAUUAUUAUUAUUAUUAUUAUUAUUAUUAUUAUUAUUAUUAUUAUUAUUAUUAUUAUUAUUAUUAUUAUUAUUAUUAUUAUUAUUAUUAUUAUUAUUAUUAUUAUUAUUAUUAUUAUUAUUAUUAUUAUUAUUAUUAUUAUUAUUAUUAUUAUUAUUAUUAUUAUUAUUAUUAUUAUUAUUAUUAUUAUUAUUAUUAUUAUUAUUAUUAUUAUUAUUAUUAUUAUUAUUAUUAUUAUUAUUAUUAUUAUUAUUAUUAUUAUUAUUAUUAUUAUUAUUAUUAUUAUUAUUAUUAUUAUUAUUAUUAUUAUUAUUAUUAUUAUUAUUAUUAUUAUUAUUAUUAUUAUUAUUAUUAUUAUUAUUAUUAUUAUUAUUAUUAUUAUUAUUAUUAUUAUUAAUGAUUAUUAUUAUUAUUAUUAUUAUUAUUAUUAUUAUUAUUAUUAUUAUUAUUAUUAUUAUUAUUAUUAUUAUUAUUAUUANNNNNNNNNNNNNNNNNNNNNNNNNNNNNNNNNNNNNNNNNNNNNNNNNNNNNNNNNNNNNNNNNNNNNNNNNNNNNNNNNNNNNNNNNNNNNNNNNNNNUUAUUAUUAUUAUUAUUAUUAUUAUUAUUAUUAUUAUUAUUAUUAUUAUUAUUAUUAUUAUGGUGGUGGUGAGAGUGUGAGGUUGUAAAAAAUGUAACGAAAAACCGAAUGGUUAGAGACGAUGUAGGUCGGGUGAGCGGGGGUGGAACCCUAGAUUGGAGACAACUUCCACAUUACCACAUAUUUUGUGUCACAGAUUGGAGACACCUCUCCCACAUGACUUAAUUGGGAGAUAGUGUUGAUAGUGACUAUUUAAACUUGAUAGUGACUAUACAAACUUUUGAUUAUAUAUUUAGCUAUGUAUUUCAUUUCAAUUCACAUAAAUUACUGGCAUUUUCUGAUUUACGUUGACCUUAUGAAAUUAUAAUUUUCGCCUUUUGGAUUUAGGUUUAUCUUUUAAAAUAUUACUUUUGCCUUUUCAUAUUUACCAUUCUCUCUUCAAAAUCUAUUUUUUCCCUUUUGAAUUUACUUUGAUCUUUUCAAAUUUUACUUUUAUCCUCCUGAAAUUACACUGACCUUUCUGAUUUUAUUUGUGCCCUUUCAAUGUUUACUUGGUCCAUUCAAAAUUUUACAUUGCCUUCUACACUUCUUUACACAGUGAUUUUUCUACCUAUUCACAUCUAAACUUAUUUUAAAAAGACAUCUAUUUUACAUAAUCCCUCCCUCUUACGAAAGCAUACAUUGCGAUCUCGGAGGAUCCAAUUCACGGCACUAGCCAAACUGAAGGAGGUACAUAUGUGGAUGAAAGUUAUAGCUACCAUAAAACAAAUUCUUAAUGAGAAGGGAAAGACGUAUAGUAAUAGAAAAAAAUGUCGUAUUUAAUCGGUGGAGGAAAUAAAUUUAUCGUUUUCUGAACCACUAGCAUUCGGCAACUAGAGAAGCAUCAAAAGUUUGCGGUAGCGAAUAUGCAACAUUGUUGGGAAGUUGGUAUGGAUUGAGUUAGAGAUGGCCCGGACCCGACCCGGAGACCGCCCCUCUCCGGCCCCGCCCCGACCAAUUACGGGUCGGUUUUGGGUCACGAUUAUAUGGAUCCGGGACCCGACGGGUCUACCUGGCGGGGGACCCGAGGGCCAGGCCCGAGGAACCGUCGGAUCAACCCGGAUUUCCCGGUUUUUUUGUCCAAAAAUUGGACAAGUGGGGGUUCGAACUCGGGACACUGGGAAGAAUGGGCAGCUCUUCACCACUGAGCCAACCAAUAAAUUUGAAUAUAGAUAGACAAUAAAUAUAAAUAAUAUAAUCCUCUGGUGUAAAAUGAUAAAUAUGCUAAAUAAAUUAUUAAUUAUUAUUAAAUAAUUAACAAAUGCAAUAUAAGAAACUUUAAAAAAAAUUAUAGAAUCACGGUUCUAUACUUCAAAACAUCUAUUAUUAAUUACUAUAUCAAUAUAAUCUCCACUAAUGAAAAAUAUAAAGUAUUGAAUCAAUUCAAUAUAUAAACAAACGUGUUGACUUAGUACAAACUCACUUUUGUUAUUAAAAUCGAUAGUCCGAAAAAUUCGAAUGAAAAAUAAAAUAGAUGUUUAUUUAAAAAAAAAUAGACUGUAACUCAUUUCAAUUAAUUUAAAUCGAUUAACCUCAAUUGUUGACAAGAACUUAUUAAAAUUAUUGAUUAUUUUAUCAUAAGAUAGAUCAUAUCUCAUUCUAAUAAAUUUCCUACUUUAAAAAUAAAACUAUAUAUGACGAGUAUAAUCAAAAUAUUAUGAUGUGAUUUCUCUUUUAAUAAUUGGUUUAAUUUGUAAAAAUCGUACGAAUUAAAUCGAAUCGUAAGAUGUAAAUGGAUUAAGCUCAAGUCCUUACAAUUUUUUUUUAUUAUAUUUGAUGAUGCUAAUUACUUAGAUCACAUGAGAUGGUGUAGUAAAUAAGUUGGGAGAGCAAAGUGAAUCAGUAGCUCGCCAAUUAUAUGGUCCUGAGGUCCCUGCGAAAUCAACACACGUGAACUAAGACGGGGGUUGAUCUGGCGAAAACUCCUCCGACGCUCAAGUCAGAUGUACGGAUCGUGGAAAUGGUAGAGAGAAUAUGUGCUCUAAAAUAAUUUUGAAUAAUAGAACGUACCUUAACAAAUGUGUAAAAACCUCUAUUUAUAUGUCGUUGAUUGGGUUGGGUUUAUUCUGUUGGGCCCAAGCCUUAUUUUGAAGGUGUUUGGGCUUUCGUGUAAUGGGCCCAAUUAGGUAUAUCAUUAAGCUCCCCAACUCUCGAGUCGAGAUGGGAGACUUGUCGAAAGGGUCCCGCUUCAUGUCGAGAGUUAAAUGUGUCGUGGCUUGACUGGUUUCCAUUGGCGUUAAAUUAAUUAGUAAUUAAUUAAAGAAGGGGUAACUGUAUUUAUUUGACAGCAAGAUAUAUAUUUAAGGGUUUUAAAUAAUAUACCAGGGCCAAAUAAAUUGAAUCAUUUUGCGGUGGAGAGAAUUAAAUUCCAACUCCUGUGGAAUAAGUAUGGAUAAGUAUUUUUAAUUGUUGGGUCUUCCUCUGUGCUCUUGCUUCUUAUUUUUAAUGGUAGAGUAGAUUUUUUUUUUCUUGAGUGUUUCUUCGAAGAAAGAAAUUUAUCAUGUCGAAUCCGGGUAAGUCUAAAUCUUUGCGAAUUCAAAUUCGAGAUCCGGUUAAAGGGGGCGAGAAAACUUUGGUAUUGUGGGUAUGGAACGCGAUAAGCUUGUAGUAUCGGGUGUGGAAAUUGAAUCGUUGGCAGGUAGUGCACGGGUUUGCUGGUGGCUUGGCUGUGGACCACGGCUCGAGCCGUGUAGCCACAUGUCGAGGCAUGGGAGAGAGCGCACGCCUCGAGGUAGCUGAUGAUGUUGGCGGCUCGGCUGGGGUGGGUGGCUCGGUGGCUUGCACGGCGACCGAGGAGAAGAGAGAGAGAAAGGGCGCUGCUGGACAUAAGGUUGGGGGACGCGCGCGCUCGGGCACAGUGACCGAGGUACGCGCGCACGCGUAGGAGCAGGUGAGUGGGGAACGCGCGCGCGUCAGGCGUGGGGGGGGGGGGGGUGCGCGAUUGGUGCGUGCGAGGGAGGUACGUGCGUUGCAGGGGAGCGGUUGGAGAAACGCUUGCGCUUCCCAGUGGCGACGCGCGCGCGUCAUUAGGCAGGUGGUCUGCCGCGUGUGGCAGCGCGUCUAGGGAGGAUUUGGCCGCGCGUGGAGGCGCAUCUGGGGAGCAUUUUCGGGCGUGUGGCAGCACGUCGGGAGCCAUUUUUCGGCGCUCGUCCCGCGAGAGCGAUGGUCGAGCGGAUGAGGGUUUUGACUUAGUUGAUGACGUGAAUAGGAGGAGUUUCGGAUGGCGAGAAACUAUUGAUUCAUGGAGUGAUGACGUAGGACCGAGUGUUAAUAUUCUUGAGCAUGUGGAUGCGGUUGGAACUAGUAGGCGUCGUUCACGUCGUCAAGUCGUGGAUUUUGGGAGCGAUAGUGACGAGUCGAAUCAAUCGAGUUCGUCAAGUGAGCCUGUCGCGUCGAAUAGUGAAGUGGAUUUGAUGGUUGAAGUGGAAGAGGAAGAUGACAUUCCGCUUGGUGAUGUUGAGAUGGAUACGAGGAGGCAAAAGAAAACUAGGCCGAUCAAUCUUUAUUUAGUUGAUGCUGAUAGUACAUUGGCUGAAGAGCAUUUGCGGUCUAUUCGUCGGUUAGUUGGAGGGCCACAGAAUAUCGAGAUGCUUUUGCCUCAGAAGGGCAAGCGUUUAUAUUCGCUACCUGUUGGGUUUCAUACGGUUUAUUUGGCAUAUGUGACGUGUACUUCUCAGAUCACUCCGCAUCCGACUUUGUUGAAGGUUUGUGAUGUGUUUAAGAUAGGGUAUAGUUAGCUUUCUCCGACUGUGCUUCUUACGUUUGAGGCGUUUCACCAUAGAGUGUUGGAAGUGGGGUUGCCUACGAGUGUCAAUUUAUUCAACGCGUUGUUUACGUUGCAUCGUCCGAAUAAAUUGCCCUUCUUUUGUGCUCAUCCGCGGGUUCCGUACAAGUUUUUGAAGAGUGUGAAGUUGUCAUUGGGGGAUUGGAAGUCCCGUUUCUUUUAUGUGAGGGCUCCCUAUUUUGACGUCCCCUUAAUGUAGAACCCCACGUGUGAGAAUUUUAGAAUUACUGAGAAUAUGGCCAUAAGGAUCAGAGAAUCUAGGUUGUGUGAUGUGGAAUUUGAUUCGAAGCGUUUGAUCUCGGAUGGUUAGCGCCGCAUAUCCUUUUGUUUUAUCGAAAUUCUUUUGUUUUUUUUUUGGUUGAUGUGCUGUUCUUCGGUUUUAUUUAUCUUUUGUCUCUAUUUUUGUAGAUGAUUGUAUUGACUUUGUGGCGCUUCGAGCUAAGGCGAAUGGGACUUCGAAGAAAUUAUUGAAGAAGGCUCCCUCGAAUUUGGGAGGUUCUUCGGGAAGCCUGCCUCGAGAGAGGGUUCGUGUUGAGACUCCUCGAGUAAGUGAAGACGAUCGUAGCUAUGCUGGUGAAUUGGAAGUGCGUGAACCUAUGAUAGACCGUGGAAAGGGGAAGACAGUGGAUACCGAG